AACCACAUGGUGGCUCACAACCAUCUGCAAUGAGAUCUGAUGCCCUCUUCUGGUGUGUCUGAAGACAGCUACAGUGUACUCAUAUAUAAUAAUAAAUAAGUCUUUAAAAAAAAAUGAAAUUGGGGGCCCCUGAGGAGCAAUGGGAUUUGUUCAAAGCUUUUUGCCACUGUAUGGGUCAGAACUUGAAUCCGGGCCAGUUCUGACUUCUAGUACGCCUCGAGAGGCACCAUGGGAGGGAAGAAACAGCCUAGGCUGAGUUAAGGUAGGCCACCCAUCUAUUUUAGUUUACUUCUUGGCUGUCCUGUAUCUCACUUUGUAGACCAGGCUGGCCUCGAACUCAGAAAUCCGCCUGCCUCUGCCUCCCGAGUGCUGGGAUUAAAGGUGUGCGCCACGAUGCCCGGCUUAGUUUACUCCUUUAUCUCUGGCUUAGAAGGCAGCUUCUGGCCUUCAGUUGAGACGGCUGGAGAGGUUCAGUGUCUGAGGACUCAGGGCCACCUUAGGGGACUCCAGGGCAAGAGCAGCAGGCAUUCUCCCUCUUCUCCUCUCAGCACCAGCAUCUCUGCCUUGAGUCUCUCCUGCUUUCCCAAGGCUGCAUCUGAAGGGCAGAGUUGAGGAACGCUUCGAGGUCACAACCCCCAGUUGCAGUCAGAAAUACAAACCAUGUUUCUGACUUUAAGGCUAAUUUCCUCUCAGCCUGGGCUCCUCAUUCCUGGGGAGGGGGGGGGCCUUCUAACCCUAAAAGCUUUGGGUUUGACUGAGGCCUCCCCCCCUUACACAUACACACACACACAGACACAAUCAGUGAAAGAGCCCUGAGCACGCGCUCACGUGGGUUCUCGGACCCCAGCACCAGAAGAGUUAAGUCAUCCUCUGCAGAAGGGACAGAAAGUUGUCCAUACAGGAAGCUGUUCUCCAGUCCCAAAAGCCUCUGGGGAGGGGGGAUGGGAGACAAUUUUUUUUUUUCAGCCUGUUUCUCAGGCUCCUCACCCUCCCUAGGGAUCCAGCUACAUGCCAGAGACUGACCCUUGACCUGGGCCCUUCCACUCCACCUCCCCAGCCGGAUAGACUCUGAUUCCACUCAGGGCCCCCAGGGUACUUAGAGAAUGGGACUCCCCCACUUCCUCGCUUCCUCACCUCCCUUUCUCCCCCACCACCCCAACUAUUCUCCCAAUCUGGUUUAUUCACCCCCACCCCCCAUGGUGCCUCACUCCUCUCCUGUGCCACAGACACGGAUCCUCCUCCGCCCUGGGUCCCCAGUCCUCGCGCCCCAACCCCCGCCUUCAUAAUCUUCUAAAAAUAAAAGCCAGUGAUUCAAGUUGGCAACUCCGGAAACACAUACUCCAGCCCAGGCAUCCGCCGGGUGGGGGACAAGGAAGGACCCACAAACAGAGAAAUACUCAGAAGAAACAGCUCAGGUAAACACAGGAACACAGGCUUGGCCUGAGGAGAAAGAAGGCAGCAGUAGAGGCUGGAAGGGGCCAGGAAGGAAGAGACUGUUGCUGGGGGAGGGAGGACUCCUGAGGUAAGGUCUCUGAUAAAGAGUGGGGGGGGGGGGGGUCUCCCAAGGCUUCCUGUCUGUUGUCAUUAAAUGUGUUCUACUUUCUAAAUAUUAACUCCAUCCCCAAAGGCAGGCCUUGACUGAACUAAAACCCAGGAAAAUCCCCUUCCGUACAGUCAGGUCUGAGCCCAUUCCCUCAGGGGACCUUCUAGUUGCUUUGCUUCCCAGAGAGAGGAGGAAGGUCACCUAUUCUUGGCCUGCUGCUGCCUCUUCCUGGGCCCUAGCCAGGACAAAGGUCAAAGGGAUUCUAGGCAUUGGCCCUUUUGAGAUUGUCUUUGCUCCUAGAAGUACCACCAGGUGGUCAUGGGAAAAGGCCUGAAAAGACACUCCUCCCAGGCCGUCCAGACCAGUAGCAGAAAGACCGGACCACAUCACACUUUUCUUGAGCCAGAUUCUGUCCUGUACCGAGCUCUUCAGCUUUCUGGACUGGAAUUGAUUUAAGUUCGUGGUUACAGUACAUUUGGGGACCUAGCAAUUAAUUAGAAGAAAAAAAAUGGCUAGUAUCUUUCAACUACUUCCUGUGUCCCACACCUGGGUUAAAAUGGUACACGAUUGUCAUUAUAUGUAGAUAAUCCUGUUGUGAGCUCAUUUUUAUCAUUCCUCACUUAUAGGUGAAACAGAAGCAGAUUGCUCCCAGAGCUGACCCAAGGGCGGGUCCCAGGAGUAAAAACGGCCAAGUUGGAAUUUGAACUCAGAUACGCCGGACUCCAUAGCCUUUUCCCUCCAGCCUCUGUGCCUUAGCCUGAGGUGUGUGUGUGUGUGUGUGUGUGUGUAUAU
rnacentral:lncRNA from 1 species